rnacentral:rRNA from 1 species
UACGGAGGGUGCAAGCGUUGCUCGGAAUUAUUGGGCGUAAAGCGCACGCAGGCGGCAAGGUAAGUCAGUUGUGAAAUUCCCGAGCUUAACUUGGGAGCUGCAGCUGAUACUGCCCUGCUUGAGUACGGAAGAGGGGAGCGGAAUUCCCAGUGUAGAGGUGAAAUUCGUAGAUAUUGGGAGGAACACCGGUGGCGAAGGCGGCUCCCUGGUCCGAUACUGACGCUCAUGUGCGAAAGCGUGGGGAGCAAACAGG